CCUACGGGAGGCAGCAGUGGGGAAUAUUGCACAAUGGGGGAAACCCUGAUGCAGCGACGCCGCGUGGAGGAAGAAGGUCUUCGGAUUGUAAACUCCUGUUGUUGAGAAAGAUAAUGACGGUACUCAACAAGGAAGUGACGGCUAACUACGUGCCAGCAGC
rnacentral:rRNA from 1 species